rnacentral:rRNA from 1 species
GGACAACAGUUGGAAACGACUGCUAAUACCGGAUGUGCCUACGGGUGAAAGGCUUGCUGACUGAAGAAGAGCUUGCGUCCGAUUAGCUAGUUGGUGAGGUAAAGGCUUACCAAGGCGUCGAUCGGUAGCUGGUCUGAGAGGA